AGCUCCAUUAGCGUAUAUUAAAGUUGUUGCAGUUAAAAAGCUCGUAGUUGGAUUUCGGUGUGGGCCAGUGGGUCGGCCGCGAGGCCUGUUACUGACUGGUCCGCUCUUCCUCUCAAAGACUGCGCGUGCCCUUCGCUAAAUAUACAUAUUUAAAUUUGGGACGUUUACUUUGAAAAAAUUAGAGUGUUCAAGGCAGGCUCGCCAGCUUGAAUACAUGAGCAUGGAAUAAUGGAAUAGGACUACGGUCCCUAUUUCGUUGGUUUGACGGACCGAAGUAAUGAUUAAGAGGGACAAUUGGGGGCAUCCGUAUUUCGUAGUCAGAGGUGAAAUUCUUGGACCUACGAAAGACGAACAACUGCGAAAGCAUUUGCCAAGAGUGUUUUCAUUAAUCAAGAACGAA
rnacentral:rRNA from 1 species